rnacentral:rRNA from 1 species
UGGGGAAUUUUGGACAAUGGGCGCAAGCCUGAUCCAGCCAUGCCGCGUGCGGGAAGAAGGCCUUCGGGUUGUAAACCGCUUUUGUCAGGGAAGAAAUCCUUUGAGCUAAUACCUCGGGGGGAUGACGGUACCUGAAGAAUAAGCACCGGCUAACUUCGUGCCAGCAGCCGCGGUAAUACGAAGGGUGCAAGCGUUACUCGGAAUUACUGGGCGUAAAGCGCGCGUAGGUGGUUAGUUAAGUUGGAUGUGAAAUCCCCGGGCUCAGCCUGGGAACUGCAUUUGUGACUGCAUAGCUGGAGUGCGGCAGAGGGGGAUGGAAUUCCGCGUGUAGCAGUGAAAUGCGUAGAUAUGCGGAGGAACACCGAUGGCGAAGGCAAUCCCCUGGGCCUGUACUGACGCUCAUGCACGAAAGCGUGGGGAGCAAACA